rnacentral:rRNA from 1 species
AGGGAUCAUUACCGAGUUUACAACUCCCAAACCCAAUGUGAACGUUACCAAACUGUUGCCUCGGCGGGAUCUCUGCCCCGGGUGCGUCGCAGCCCCGGACCAAGGCGCCCGCCGGAGGACCAACCAAAACUCUUAUUGUAUACCCCCUCGCGGGUUUUUUUAUAAUCUGAGCCUUCUCGGCGCCUCUCGUAGGCGUUUCGAAAAUGAAUCAAAACUUUCAACAACGGAUCUCUUGGUUCUGGCAUCGAUGAAGAACGCAGCGAAAUGCGAUAAGUAAUGUGAAUUGCAGAAUUCAGUGAAUCAUCGAAUCUUUGAACGCACAUUGCGCCCGCCAGUAUUCUGGCGGGCAUGCCUGUCCGAGCGUCAUUUCAACCCUCGAACCCCUCCGGGGGGUCGGCGUUGGGGAUCGGCCCUCCCUUAGCGGGUGGCCGUCUCCGAAAUACAGUGGCGGUCUCGCCGCAGCCUCUCCUGCGCAGUAGUUUGCACACUCGCAUCGGGAGCGCGGCGCGUCCACAGCCGUUAAACACCCAACUUCUGAAAUGUUGACCUCGGAUCAGG